AGCUCCAAUAGCGUAUAUUAAAGUUGUUGCAGUUAAAAAGCUCGUAGUUGGAUUUCUGUUUCGAGUGUUCGGUCCGUCUGCUCUGCAGAUGCGUACUUGGAUGCUGGAUUCAUUUUUUGUGAGCACCCUUGACUGGCAUUAAGUUGUCGGUCUCGUGGACUUGCAUCGUUUACUGUGAAAAAAUUAGAGUGUUUAAAGCAGGCGUUCGCUUUUGAAUACAUUAGCAUGGAAUAAUAAGAUACGACUUUGGUGGUCUAUUUUGUUGGUUUGCACACCAGAGUAAUGAUUAAUAGGGACAGUUGGGGGUAUUCAUAUUUCAGCGUCAGAGGUGAAAUUCUUGGAUCGCUGAAAGAUGAGCUUAGGCGAAAGCAUUUACCAUGGAUGUUUUCAUUAAUCAAGA
rnacentral:rRNA from 1 species